rnacentral:misc_RNA from 1 species
GAUGAAGAACGCAGCGAAAUGCGAUACUUGGUGUGAAUUGCAGAAUCCCGUGAACCAUCGAGUCUUUGAACGCAAGUUGCGCCCGAAGCCACUAGGCCGAGGGCACGCCUGCCUGGGCGUCACACGUCGUUGCCCCCCCCCCAUCUACUCCUUCGGGAUUGCGGGGGGCGGAUGAUGGCCUCCCGUGCGCCUAGCCGCGCGGUUGGCAUAAAUACCAAGUCCUCGGCGACGCACGCCACGACAAUCGGUGGUUGCGAAACCUCGGUUGCCCGUCGUGUGCGUUCGUCGCGUAUCGAGGGCUCGAAAAAAUGCUCGGCUCCGGCUCGGCUUUCAACGCGACCCCAGGUCAGGCGGGGUUACCCGCUGAAUUUAAGCAUAUCAAUAAGCGGAGGA